UUAAGCGACUAAGCGUACACGGUGGAUGCCCUGGCAGUCAGAGGCGAUGAAGGGCGUGCUAAUCUGCGAUAAGCGCCGGUAAGGUGAUAUGAACCGUUAUAACCGGCGAUACCCGAAUGGGGAAACCCAGUGUGAUUCGUCACACUAUCAUUAACUGAAUCCAUAGGUUAAUGAGGCGAACCGGGGGAACUGAAACAUCUAAGUACCCCGAGGAAAAGAAAUCAACCGAGAUUCCCCCAGUAGCGGCGAGCGAACGGGGAGGAGCCCAGAGCCUGAAUCAGCAUGUGUGUUAGUGGAAGCGUCUGGAAAGGCGCGCGAUACAGGGUGACAGCCCCGUACACAAAAGCGCAUGUGCUGUGAGCUCGAUGAGUAGGGCGGGACACGUGGUAUCCUGUCUGAAUAUGGGGGGACCAUCCUCCAAGGCUAAAUACUCCUGACUGACCGAUAGUGAACCAGUACCGUGAGGGAAAGGCGAAAAGAACCCCGGCGAGGGGAGUGAAAAAGAACCUGAAACCGUGUACGUACAAGCAGUGGGAGCACCCUUUGGGGUGUGACUGCGUACCUUUUGUAUAAUGGGUCAGCGACUUAUAUUCUGUAGCAAGGUUAACCGAAUAGGGGAGCCGGAGGGAAACCGAGUCUUAAUUGGGCGUUAAGUUGCAGGGUAUAGACCCGAAACCCGGUGAUCUAGCCAUGGGCAGGUUGAAGGUUGGGUAACACUAACUGGAGGACCGAACCGACUAAUGUUGAAAAAUUAGCGGAUGACCUGUGGCUGGGGGUGAAAGGCCAAUCAAACCGGGAGAUAGCUGGUUCUCCCCGAAAGCUAUUUAGGUAGCGCCUCGUGAAUUCAUCUCCGGGGGUAGAGCACUGUUUCGGCUAGGGGGCCAUCCCGGCUUACCAACCCGAUGCAAACUGCGAAUACCGGAGAAUGCUAUCACGGGAGACACACGGCGGGUGCUAACGUCCGUCGUGAAGAGGGAAACAACCCAGACCGCCAGCUAAGGUCCCAAAGUCAUGGUUAAGUGGGAAACGAUGUGGGAAGGCCCAGACAGCCAGGAUGUUGGCUUAGAAGCAGCCAUCAUUUAAAGAAAGCGUAAUAGCUCACUGGUCGAGUCGGCCUGCGCGGAAGAUGUAACGGGGCUAAACCAUGCACCGAAGCUGCGGCAGCGACGCUGAUGCGUUGUUGGGUAGGGGAGCGUUCUGUAAGCCUGCGAAGGUGGCCUGUGAGGGUUGCUGGAGGUAUCAGAAGUGCGAAUGCUGACAUAAGUAACGAUAAAGCGGGUGAAAAGCCCGCUCGCCGGAAGACCAAGGGUUCCUGUCCAACGUUAAUCGGGGCAGGGUGAGUCGACCCCUAAGGCGAGGCCGAAAGGCGUAGUCGAUGGGAAACGGGUUAAUAUUCCCGUACUUGGUGUUACUGCGAAGGGGGGACGGAGAAGGCUAUGUUGGCCGGGCGACGGUUGUCCCGGUUUAAGCGUGUAGGUGUGUGUUCCAGGUAAAUCCGGUUCACUUUAACACUGAGGCGUGAUGACGAGGCACUACGGUGCUGAAGCAACAAAUGCCCUGCUUCCAGGAAAAGCCUCUAAGCAUCAGGUAACAUCAAAUCGUACCCCAAACCGACACAGGUGGUCAGGUAGAGAAUACCAAGGCGCUUGAGAGAACUCGGGUGAAGGAACUAGGCAAAAUGGUGCCGUAACUUCGGGAGAAGGCACGCUGACACGUAGGUGAAGUGAUUUACUCAUGGAGCUGAAGUCAGUCGAAGAUACCAGCUGGCUGCAACUGUUUAUUAAAAACACAGCACUGUGCAAACACGAAAGUGGACGUAUACGGUGUGACGCCUGCCCGGUGCCGGAAGGUUAAUUGAUGGGGUCAGCGCAAGCGAAGCUCCUGAUCGAAGCCCCGGUAAACGGCGGCCGUAACUAUAACGGUCCUAAGGUAGCGAAAUUCCUUGUCGGGUAAGUUCCGACCUGCACGAAUGGCGUAAUGAUGGCCAGGCUGUCUCCACCCGAGACUCAGUGAAAUUGAACUCGCUGUGAAGAUGCAGUGUACCCGCGGCAAGACGGAAAGACCCCGUGAACCUUUACUAUAGCUUGACACUGAACAUUGAGCCUUGAUGUGUAGGAUAGGUGGGAGGCUUUGAAGCGUGGACGCCAGUCUGCGUGGAGCCGACCUUGAAAUACCACCCUUUAAUGUUUGAUGUUCUAACGUGGACCCGUUACCCGGGUUGCGGACAGUGUCUGGUGGGUAGUUUGACUGGGGCGGUCUCCUCCUAAAGAGUAACGGAGGAGCACGAAGGUUGGCUAAUCCUGGUCGGACAUCAGGAGGUUAGUGCAAUGGCAUAAGCCAGCUUGACUGCGAGCGUGACGGCGCGAGCAGGUGCGAAAGCAGGUCAUAGUGAUCCGGUGGUUCUGAAUGGAAGGGCCAUCGCUCAACGGAUAAAAGGUACUCCGGGGAUAACAGGCUGAUACCGCCCAAGAGUUCAUAUCGACGGCGGUGUUUGGCACCUCGAUGUCGGCUCAUCACAUCCUGGGGCUGAAGUAGGUCCCAAGGGUAUGGCUGUUCGCCAUUUAAAGUGGUACGCGAGCUGGGUUUAGAACGUCGUGAGACAGUUCGGUCCCUAUCUGCCGUGGGCGCUGGAGAACUGAGGGGGGCUGCUCCUAGUACGAGAGGACCGGAGUGGACGCAUCACUGGUGUUCGGGUUGUCAUGCCAAUGGCACUGCCCGGUAGCUAAAUGCGGAAGAGAUAAGUGCUGAAAGCAUCUAAGCACGAAACUUGCCCCGAGAUGAGUUCUCCCUGAGACUUAGAGUCUCCUGAAGGAACGUUGAAGACGACGACGUUGAUAGGCCGGGUGUGUAAGCGCAGCGAUGCGUUGAGCUAACCGGUACUAAUGAACCGUGAGGCUUAACCUU
rnacentral:rRNA from 1 species